GAUGAACGCUGGCGGCAUGCCUAACACAUGCAAGUUGAACGAGAAGUUCUGGAACAAGUCUUCGGACAAGGGAAGGGACGGGAAGUAGCGAACGGGUGAGUAACGCGUGGGCAACCAACCUUACACAGGGGGAUAACGCAGAGAAAUUUGCGCUAAUACCGCAUAAGCGCACAGGAUCACAUGAUCUGGUGUGAAAAACUCCGGUGGUGUAAGACGGGCCCGCGUCUGAUUAGCUAGUUGGUGAGGUAAGAGCUCACCAAGGCGACGAUCAGUAGCCGACCUGAGAGGGUGAUCGGCCACAUUGGGACUGAGACACGGCCCAAACUCCUACGGGAGGCAGCAGUGGGGGAUAUUGCACAAUGGAGGGAACUCUGAUGCAGCAAUGCCGCGUGAAGGAAGAAGGUUUUCGGAUUGUAAACUUCUAUCAGCAGGGAAGAA
rnacentral:rRNA from 1 species